AGAUUGAACGCUGGCGGCAUGCCUUACACAUGCAAGUCGAACGGCAGCACGGGAGCAAUCCUGGUGGCGAGUGGCGAACGGGUGAGUAAUACAUCGGAACGUGCCCAAUCGUGGGGGAUAACGCAGCGAAAGCUGUGCUAAUACCGCAUAAGAUCUAUGGAUGAAAGCAGGGGAUCGCAAGACCUUGCGCGAAUGGAGCGGCCGAUGGCAGAUUAGGUAGUUGGUGAGGUAAGGCUCACCAAUCCUUCGAUCGUGUAGCUGGUCUGAGAGGACGACCAGCCACACUGGAACUGACGACACGGGUCCAGGACUCCGUACGGGAGCAGCGAGGUGGGGAAUUUGGACAGUGGCG
rnacentral:rRNA from 1 species